UACGUAGGGGGCAAGCGUUGUCCGGAUUUAUUGGGCGUAAAGAGCGUGUAGGCGGCCAGGUAGGUCUGCUGUGAAAACUCGAGGCUUAACCUCGAGAUGUCGGCGGAAACCAUCUGGCUAGAGUCCGGAAGAGGAGAAUGGAAUUCCCGGUGUAGCGGUGAAAUGCGCAGAUAUCGGGAAGAACACCCGUGGCGAAGGCGGUUCUCUGGGACGGUACUGACGCUGAGACGCAAAAGCGUGGGGAGCGAACAGG
rnacentral:rRNA from 1 species